UUGAAGAGUUUGAUCAUGGCUCAGAUUGAACGCUGGCGGCAGGCUUAACACAUGCAAGUCGAGCGGUAGCACAGAGAGCUUGCUCUCGGGUGACGAGCGGCGGACGGGUGAGUAAUGUCUGGGAAACUGCCUGAUGGAGGGGGAUAACUACUGGAAACGGUAGCUAAUACCGCAUAACGUCGCAAGACCAAAGUGGGGGACCUUCGGGCCUCAUGCCAUCAGAUGUGCCCAGAUGGGAUUAGCUAGUAGGUGGGGUAACGGCUCACCUAGGCGACGAUCCCUAGCUGGUCUGAGAGGAUGACCAGCCACACUGGAACUGAGACACGGUCCAGACUCCUACGGGAGGCAGCAGUGGGGAAUAUUGCACAAUGGGCGCAAGCCUGAUGCAGCCAUGCCGCGUGUGUGAAGAAGGCCUUCGGGUUGUAAAGCACUUUCAGCGGGGAGGAAGGCGUUAAGGUUAAUAACCUUGGCGAUUGACGUUACCCGCAGAAGAAGCACCGGCUAACUCCGUGCCAGCAGCCGCGGUAAUACGGAGGGUGCAAGCGUUAAUCGGAAUUACUGGGCGUAAAGCGCACGCAGGCGGUCUGUCAAGUCGGAUGUGAAAUCCCCGGGCUCAACCUGGGAACUGCAUUCGAAACUGGCAGGCUAGAGUCUUGUAGAGGGGGGUAGAAUUCCAGGUGUAGCGGUGAAAUGCGUAGAGAUCUGGAGGAAUACCGGUGGCGAAGGCGGCCCCCUGGACAAAGACUGACGCUCAGGUGCGAAAGCGUGGGGAGCAAACAGGAUUAGAUACCCUGGUAGUCCACGCCGUAAACGAUGUCGAUUUGGAGGUUGUGCCCUUGAGGCGUGGCUUCCGGAGCUAACGCGUUAAAUCGACCGCCUGGGGAGUACGGCCGCAAGGUUAAAACUCAAAUGAAUUGACGGGGGCCCGCACAAGCGGUGGAGCAUGUGGUUUAAUUCGAUGCAACGCGAAGAACCUUACCUGGUCUUGACAUCCACAGAACUUUCCAGAGAUGGAUUGGUGCCUUCGGGAACUGUGAGACAGGUGCUGCAUGGCUGUCGUCAGCUCGUGUUGUGAAAUGUUGGGUUAAGUCCCGCAACGAGCGCAACCCUUAUCCUUUGUUGCCAGCGGUCCGGCCGGGAACUCAAAGGAGACUGCCAGUGAUAAACUGGAGGAAGGUGGGGAUGACGUCAAGUCAUCAUGGCCCUUACGACCAGGGCUACACACGUGCUACAAUGGCAUAUACAAAGAGAAGCGACCUCGCGAGAGCAAGCGGACCUCAUAAAGUAUGUCGUAGUCCGGAUUGGAGUCUGCAACUCGACUCCAUGAAGUCGGAAUCGCUAGUAAUCGUAGAUCAGAAUGCUACGGUGAAUACGUUCCCGGGCCUUGUACACACCGCCCGUCACACCAUGGGAGUGGGUUGCAAAAGAAGUAGGUAGCUUAACCUUCGGGAGGGCGCUUACCACUUUGUGAUUCAUGACUGGGGUGAAGUCGUAACAAGGUAACCGUAGGGGAACCUGCGGUUGGAUCACCUCCUU
rnacentral:rRNA from 1 species